GGGCUUGUGGUGGUGGGCGUCACCACUUGCCGCACUUUCCCUCAGCCCCUCUGCUCCCCCAGGCAGGGCGGGAAGAACCUUCUAGAAGCCUGAGCUCUUCAUUCAGCCUUCACGCGGCGACAGCGUUGAAUUCUCAGCGGUGGUCAAAGGAACGACCCCCCUCCCCCCCUCCAAUGACUCAGGCUCCCUCUCCUUCACCCACACAGGCCCGAGCACCCAUGGUAACUCCCCUUAAAGGGCCCAAUGAGAGCACAAGGAUUAUUUUGAACCAAGGAAGAGGAGCGUCUGAGCUGGACGACCGGAGCUGGAACUCUGGACGGCGCCCACCGACCUGGCCAGGAGAAAUCCCAGUUUAUCCUAAGAACCUCCACCGACAGCUAAAACGGGAAACUUCCUGCCCACCACAGCAGCCCUCUUCCCUCCCUUGCAAUAAUCUGCUCUAGGAAAACCCUGUCCUGACCAAGCUGGGGUCAGGGUCCUGACCGUGCUUAGCACACCGAGCCCUGCUGCCGCCCUGAGCCCUGUCCUCAGGCUGCUGGAAGGGAGGAGCAAGGCUGACACACUGGUGUGGAAGGACGCAGAGGCCGUGCAGAGGCGACUUGGUCUUGGAGGCCUCAACAACUUUGGGGGCUGAGUUGAAAGGAUGACACAGCUGUUUUUCAGGGGCUCCCCAGGCCCCGGCUGACAACUUGCACUUGCGCAUGAAACAGCAGCAGUGACGGUUAAUUAGAAUACGGUUUAUCAGAGAAGUGUAGGCGGUUCCAGCUCUAAGACAAUAAAAUGAUGUAAGCAAGAUUGUGUGGAACUGUUGGGAGAUUUCAGUAAGAAAAAGCUAGGUGGGACCCGAGGCCUGGGUCUGUGAAGGUGGCAAUUUGGACUUGUCCUGGGUUCUUUCGGAUAAUCCACACACUCAAUAGGAACUGAUUAACGUUAGAAAAAAAAAAGAAAAAAACAAAACACUUCAGGGCGGGCGUGUAACUGAGGGGCGGAUAAGAGGCCGGGCAGCCCCGCCAGGCCGGCAGGGCCUGUGUCCAAGUGCGGCCCCGGGCCUGAGUCCCGCCAGGGCAGUGCGUCUUCCUGCUGGCGCAGCCGGGCCCCUUCCCGAAGGAGUCUCUCCUGCUUUCAGGGGCGCAGAGGGGCCGCACCCUUGCACAGGUGGUGCUCAAGUAACUUUAGUUCAAAAUGAGGGGCGC